rnacentral:misc_RNA from 1 species
GCACGCUAGAAUAGAUAAACCAGAAAACAUAUAAACAAAAGAAAACACUAAUGCACUUUGCCAGUUGGUUUAAAUCUAAAACAACAAUGGCCAUGAAGAAUUCAAUGUUAGUAUAAAAACUUAUAGCCAUUAGAAUUGACCAUGGAAUUGGCAUAAUUCAGAAAGUAAAACCCACUACUUAAACUAAUCCAUAUUUUGUCCUCUGUUUCAGAAACAAACAGACAGUAAGAGUCUAUUCAGCAUUGCUAUUGAGAAAAGCAGCUAUUAAAAUUGGUUUAAAGAUAAAUUUGACAUGUAUUAGUCAUGGGAACUUCAAAACAAAACAAAAAAAAAGUUUUUGCAACAGCAUCUAAAAUGAAGCUUUUCUAAAAAGUAGCUUUUUGGCCUCCCAAUCACAA